GACGGUUCCAUUCGGGCUCGAGCCGCGCUAUCCCCUUCCCUCUUGGCUUUCAGCCGGCUGAGCGCCCCCUCCCCCCGCCAGCGAGGCUACAGGCACGCAGGAGCCUGGGGCUGGGUGAAGAACUAGCUCAUGAGAUGGCCUCGAGUCACCCAAUCCCUGCCUUGCCCACGGAGCUCGCGCUCUGGCCCCAGCCAUGGGGAUGGGGUGUGGGGGGGACGCAGCGUGCACAGGCCCCGGUGGCUGGGACCCAGACACAAGAAGAGAGAGCCCUGUGGCAAGAGCAGCUGGCUGGUGUGGUCUCUGGGUGGAGAUGCUCCUGCGCACUUCAAAAUCCCUACUGGUCAGAGGCUGCUUCUGCUUUAGAAACGACCUAGGGCUUUGUCUGGGGGCCCUGAAAUCGUCAGUGUUUCUUCAUGUGUUCCCUUAUCACAGCUCUUGAAAUAGAGCCCGGGCCUGGCCUGGCCAAGACAGGCUUAACUUCGCUCCUGGGGUCUGGCGACACAGCAGCUGGGACCAUGCUUCCCACAUCAGAUGCAUGCUAGGUCCCCAUAAGUGUGGAAAUUGAUUCAACAUAAAGAACGCACCCGUCUCCAUGCUGUAAAGUAAUACAAUUGAGAGCCAUGGAUUUCAGAGGCUGGCAUAUACAACAGCAGUCUCAAAGCCCUGUGAUGUGGCCACCAUCCUGUGGCUGAGCAUGUCCAGACCAUUGUUCUUGGAGACCACGAACACCAUUACUUGCUGAUCAGCAAUAUGAAAUGCUCUCUUCCUUUGAGGGACCGAAAGUGCUGCUUCUCAAGUACCCUAAUCUGAGUAGAGAGAUCAUGACCAACUAUCAAGCCUUGAUUCUCUACAUGGUACAGAAUGGACAAAUUUAUACCAGGAAUUGCAAACACAAGACAUGCUAAAGAAGACUUCCUCACCAUAUCCAGCUUUUUCUAUCCUUUCCUGAGUGCUGUCAAUAGGUGGCAGGUGAUAAUGAAUCAUGCACAGGUGGUUCCUGUGCUAAAAAAUUUGCCUGCAACAAAAGUAUCUGCUACCAUCUCUCCAUCUUAAACAGACUAACUCCAACAUUUAUAUGAAAGAAAAAGCGUAUUAAAAAGCAAAGGAAAUGUGACUGUCAUAGUGGUGAAGAUGAAAUUGGUACUUAUCUUAGAAGAAUUCUGAAGUCUGAGGACCUAAUCUUGCAGUUUUUACUCAUGGAAACAAUCCCUGCUCACCCUAUCCAUCCCAUUGACCUUUAUGGGGCUGCUUGCAUGAGUGCAAAAGGGUUGCACCAUACAACUCAAUUGGACUGGAGCACUUGCAGAAUCCAAGCAGCAGUAUAAAACUGUAGCCAUUUUGUGAAUAUUUCAGCAUGUGCCUGAAAUUCCCAUGUGGCUGAAAGAAAGUCUCAAAAUACUCAGCAACUGUUUUACAAACAGGUAAAUUCAGCAAGUAAAGUUGGUGAGAGAGACAAGCUUUCAAGCUUACACAGAGCUUUUUUUGGGGUCUCAAUAAAAUAUAUUACCUCGCCCACCUUGCCUCUCUAAUACCUUGGGACCAGCAUGACUACUACAACCCUGCAUACGUACUUGUUUGAAAACCCACUGAACGAGUGGCAGAGACAGGUAUUGAGCCUAGAGACUUGAUUUCUUGUCCCCUGAUCUAACAACUGGUCACUUUAUGUCAACACAGUCCUAAAGAGUAUAAAUUCUGGAGCUCCAGAAAACAAAACCUUUUUGCCCUGCAAGCAAGCUCAGGAGAACAACACCCUUUCAAGAGUGCUUUAACUCGCAUGCUUACUGCCAUCCACUAAAACCAUCUGAAACAUUCAUGCUUCCUCCCAGUCAUCAGUGAACUUGAAAAGAUCGUGAUGAGAAGCAGGAGAGAACCUAGAAACAAAACAUUAAAAACUGUGCCACUGUCCCAGGAGGAAAUUCAAACUUCUGGAAGCUGGAGAGGCACCAAAAAAGCAAAAGGUAACUUCUUUUACUGUAUGACUUUUCUUUUGAUGGGCGGUGGGGGAAAAUGAGGUAGCAAAAUGAAUCCAGAACAGUGACAAGAAUGAAAGUGAUGGAAAGGAGGAGAGAAGCAUGGUGCAGAGAAGGUACCUGAACUCCUAAGGCUUUGAGUUAUUUUUUAGUGUUCAGGAUCUUUUGUGAGUAAAUACCAGUGCAGGAAGUAAAUACCCAUCUCCCUACAGAAAAGGAUUCAGAUCUCCUGUGAUGAAGUCUUGAAUCAUUAGCACAUAACAAGGCAAAUGCCUCUCUCUCUGUAUACACACUUUCCUUUUUGAAAGAAUAACAGCUUUCUCAUGCCUGCCCUCCCUCAACUUGACCCCUCAUUGGGCAGGUUUGGCCUGUUCCUACUGAAAUCUAAUCCAUGUUUACAGUAAAAGUGCAUUGCCUUCAUGAUUAAGAACAAUAAGUAGUGAUGGAAACUAACAAGCCCUUAUUCAUUUUAUUUUGACAUGGAUCACCAAAAUCCUUGAUCUUUAAAAAUUAAAUCCCCUUCUGAUAAAACUAUAUUAUCAACUUUGUGCAUACUAUAAAAUAAUUACCUACCUUCUGAUAUUUAUCUCCUUUAUUUUGCCAUAAUCCUACAUUCACACAUCCUUAUAAUUAUUUUUGUAAGCGAUGUGUUGAGAAUAUUUUAAAGACUAAUCAUUUUCUUUAUGAGUUUACAGAAUUAUAUACAGACCUACAGUCUUAUGAUAUUCUUAUGUUAUGUCUCCCCUGACUGUACAUGCAUAACGGGAGUUACCUGUAUAUGCCUCAUAAGAGGAAUAUACCCUUUAAGGGCAAAACAGAUCCUAGCUUUCAUUUUCAUAUGGUAAAGACUCUUUUCACACACUAGUUGGGGAUGUUUUUAAAAACAGCAUAAAUGUGGUAUCAUUCAAUAAUAGCCCAAACCUAUGAGUUUUGCCUGCAUCAUGAGUGCAGGAUUGGGUCCUAAAAGAAAAUACUGUCUUUUCCAGGCAAAACCCCAAAUUUCCCACAAUUCACUUCUACUUCAGAUAUAGCCUAUGGGGCCAGUCCUGCAGUUGAUCCACACUUGAUUUCAGUGGGAAUUCUGCAUGCAAAAUAAUUCAGGAUCAGGUCGACAUAAAUUUCAGAUUAUUCUUCAUGUUUUUUAAAAAUCAAAACUGCCAUGAUCCUUCCUCAUUCCCAGUGUUGCUCUUCCACUGAGGACAGUGAUGUGCAAGUCACAAACUACGGUCAGUUUUAAAAUUUUCCUUUGAGAACUGAUGAACUAUUCAACUUUCUUGCUUAUUUUCAGAAGGUGUUCUUUACCUCUUAUCACCAACACCACUACUGUCUUGAUUUCUGCACAGAUUUUCCUUUGCUUUGAUAUAUUAUUGCUCCUGAUAUUUUGUACAACUACAUUGCUCAAAAUAUCCAAGAUGAAAAAAAAUACUGUGUCCCAAGAAUAAUUUAUACUUGUUGACACAUGGUAAAUCUUAGAAAAUUAGCACUCCAUGUACUCUUGCCAGUGGCAGUUGUGCAACACUAUUCAGAGUAUUCUUCUUGCACUUUGUUGUAAGAACAGGAAUAAUAUCCAAAAUAUUCCAAAGUAAAUAAUACUCACUGAGUACAUUCUGCUGUUUUGCCUUUGCUCUGAUAGUCCAUAAUACACUGUAUUAAGUGGUGAUUUUCAUCUAGCAUCUGGAUAAAAAAAAAUGAUCAAAAUACUUGUUACUAUGCGAUAAGACUAAAAACACAUCAAGUUCUGCUAUAUGUUUCUUCCUUCUGUGAUAUUCCACUUUCACUCGGUCUUAGCUUGAUGGUUCUUUGUGCAUGUCUGUUGCCUCCAGGUAUUUAUGAAGUUCCUAGACUGGAACAGGAAUAUUAAUAUGGAAUCAAAACUUCCAACUACUCCCCAAAGUCAAAUUUAUUUAUUGAACAUUACUAUAAAAUAAACUCCUGAGGGGGGAGUCCAUUUUGUGUUAAUCUUAGUCUGUAACUAUUAUAUCUUAUGCCUGAACAGAAAUAACAGAACAGAAAAAUAUGACCAAAAAGAUAAAAAACUUCCUUAUUAAAAUACUCAGUGCAUUGCUCUGGUUUCAGAGUACAAUUUUUAUGAAAGGUUCACUAAACACAACCCACAAAAUUUUACAAUUUGAGUUCAUUUUAAAUGGAGGAAAAAUCAGAAAUGAAAGAUGAUACAUCUUAUACUACUUAAAACAUGUUUCCAUAAAAUUACAGCUCACAAAAGUUGUACUGUAGGCUUACAUCUCAUUGGUAGUUAAUACUGUAAAGAAUAAAUAUGUCAAUACUAUUUCUGUAUUUUAGGUAGUGAUUAUUAUUACCUAACAUUAAUAUUGUGGUGGAACUAAGAGGGCUCAAACAGGUGAAGUCCCUAUUGUGCUAGGUACUGUACAAAGAUAUAGUAAACAGUCCCUGCCCCAAAAGCUUACAGUAUAAAAUAUGUUGGAUGUUUGAUUUAAAAAUACACACAUGAAUAUAAACAAAUUGCAACAUUAACCUUUUUAUGCCAUCAUCCCUUUUGCAUUCCAGGACCAUGGCCUUAUGAAUGCAUAUCUGUUCUGCUCAUCUUUAGGAGAUAAUGUAGGUUGUACAUCCAUGUGAGCCCACUAAGACAUACUGUUACAGUUUGCUAGAAAGAUUCUUGAACAGUAGCAAUCCCUGAGGCUACUCUGGAUCCUUCUAUAAGAUAUGGAAAAAGGCAGAUAUGUAGAUACCAUGGGAGGAGUCUGGACUCUACAGGUAAAGGGAGCAUUGACCCCCUCUCUCCCCCCCCAGCAUGUACUGUAUUUUGUGCCAAUCACCAGCUCCAUAUCUAAGCUCCAGAAUCCUAUAUGGGAGUGUCACAAGAACAUAUUUAAAUUUUACAUUUUUUGUUGAAUUUGGGAAGUUUCCUUUCUUGCAUUUAGUGACAAUUACAAAAUGCAAGAAAUGAAACCUGACAGAUAUGACAGUUAUAAAACCUCAACCUCCUGGUAUUUGCAUAUAAAUCUAUGUUUCAUAGAUGAUGGGGACAGGCUAACAAGUCUGCAGGCACAGAAAACUCCUAAGGUAUUUGCCGUGUGCCUCACUGUUCUUUAAGCCACAAAGGAUCGCCAAAUAGAUACUUCACAAAGGGCUGUGUAAUUGGGCCAUGGGGCACCCUGUGGCUUUUAAACCAAGUAGACCCACUGACUGAUCCCCAUCUGAUCCUUAUAGCCUGCAGCUGCAAACUGUGCAAUCUGUCACAAUUAGCUCAGGAGGCCCCAGUUUAAUAAAUUAGGGGAGGUCCUUUUAUCUGAAUAUGCAAUUCCCUUGAUCUGGGAUAUGAAACAUAUAUACAUGAAAACAUUCACUUCAGAGCCCUUUUAAAAGUAACCACCUAAGAGCAGCUACUCCUAGUCUAGAGGAGACAUAACUCCUAGAUUCCCAAAAAACUGCACAUCAGCCAGGGUACAAGUCUAGGCAGCUUUCAGAGUAUCUCUGUAUGGUCUCACACCUCAUUCCACCCCAUCUCCAAAAUGCCUUUGCAUGUUCCAUAGGCCAUGGAGCAGGCUUGCUGCAAUGCAGUGCAGCACGUGAAGUAACUUCUGCUACAAUGAGUAACCUAUUUGUACACAAGUGGUCUGCAAGAUACAAUACUUAUGGAACAGCCAUGAGAACCUCUGUUUAGUAUUGGGACCAAGAGUUAUAUGAGCUCCCUUUGCCAUGCAUCUCAAAUCCACUGGUUCAUAUGCAUGAUUUUUUAAUAGCCUUACAACAUAUGUCUGAGUUGAGCUAUGUAUUUUCUCCAAGUAUUUCUUCCUCAGGAACACAUUUCACACAAUGAUUCCCAAAUUGAUCCUUCUACAACAACAUCAGGAAAACUGUGUAAUUCCCCUGCCAGUUAUGUACAAUUUUUAAAGGGUCUAUUCUGAAAUAUGGAUCUUUCCUUUUCCAUUUAUUGGAAACAUAAGCCCUGCCCAUCAUCACAGCAAAGAGUGGGUUAAUAACCAUUUUAAUCAAAUAAAUUCAUCUCCUUUAUCUCAAACCUCUGAACCUGAGUAAAAAGCUUUGAUGGGGCCAAUAAUACAGCCUUUAUAGCUCCCCACUGUGGAGGCUGUUAAAAAAUCUUACAUGCUAGUAAAGUAGUUAUAAGUCUGAUGAUAGUUGUUUUAAAUGGGCAACAAGCCAUCAGAUGGUUCUGUUCUAAUUAAAAGUUAUGUGGUGGAUUUUAGAGAAGUUUGGCCAUAAUACAGCUUCAUCCAUAUCUUUGUUGAGCCAUUUGCUGUGCAUUUUUAUAGUACAUUUAUAGGCAUAUAUAUUUUUAGAGGAUUUAGCUAAAGUAUACAACACUACAGAAUCAAUGGGUUUACUCUGUAGUCCUUAACGCCAGAUAGAUUGUUGCCAGGCAGAGGCAGUUUCUCCACUAAAUAUCUGCAUCUGAUUCUAAAAUACCUUUAAAAAAUAUCCGUGGAACCGUAUCAUUGUCAGACAGUAAACAUACUUUUACAGAGAUUAAGUUCACAUAAAAUAAUUUCAGACUAUCCAGCCCGGCAGUACAGCAAAUUAAGAAGCUAGCAUGUGAAGCAUACUGCACUUGAAGAAGCACAAUUUGAAAUCUGCAUCACUGACUAGAUUGAAACUGCAUUCACAGGAGAAUUACAUCACUCAAUGUGUUUUUGCUCUUUGAAGUAGUUCUGUUCUGAGAUAGAGAAAAAUUUUGAGUAACCAUGCACCAGUGAGAUGAUGCAUGGCAGUAGAAUAGAUCAAAAGCUUCAAUGGACUAGUCUAUGCCUUAAGCAAGUUCUAGAGUGGUUAACUUGUUUCCAAAAAAUUAGUGUUCCUGGGCAAAAUGCAAGACAAAGCAUUUCAUCAUACAACCUACACUGCCUAAAAUUCACAUUUUGCUUAUUGUAAAAUGGUUUCAAAGACGGAAUUAUUUUGGUCUCCACCAAUUUCUUAUUCUUGCGAAUACAGACUAACACGGCUGCUUCUCUGAAACCAAUUUCUUAGUGAGUUUAAGGUCUGCUAUAGUAUUUUUUAUUAUUUCCUUGAUAAUUUGUGGUGAACUUUCUACAAGUGAAAGAAUGGCGAGAUAAAAGAGUAAAGAAAGCAAUAUUUAUAAAAUUAGGGCCUGAUCCGGCAAACAACUUAGAUUUAGAUCCUCAAAGUAUUUAGUCACCUAACUGCCAUUGAAAUUAAUGGAAGUUAGGCACCUAAUUACCUUUGAGGAUCUGCACCUUACUUAUCAGGCAUAGUCUAUACUACUGUGCGUAGUCCCAUUAAAGUCAAUCAUAAAGAUGUGCAUGGUUGUAAGUACUGAUAGUAAGUGCUUGCAUGAUUGUGCCUGUGUUUUUAAAUUUACUUUAUCAGGAAAUGUGAAACAUUCAUUAAAUAUUUUCCACACAAAGUU